UACGUAGGGGGCAAGCGUUGUCCGGAAUCAUUGGGCGUAAAGCGCGCGUAGGCGGCCAGAUAAGUCCGGUGUGAAAGUCACAGGCUCAACCUGUGAAUGCCGCUGGAAACUGUCUGGCUUGAGUCCGGAAGGGGCGAGUGGAAUUCCUGGUGUAGCGGUGAAAUGCGCAGAUAUCAGGAGGAACACCAAUGGCGAAGGCAGCUCGCUCGAACGGUACUGACGCUGAGGCGCGAAAGCGUGGGGAGCGAACAGG
rnacentral:rRNA from 1 species